UUAGUGGCGGACGGGUGAGUAACGCGUGAGUAACCUACCUUUCAGAGGGGGAUAACGUCUGGAAACGGACGAUAAUACCGCAUAACAUUUCGAGGUCACAUGGCUUUGAAAUCAAAGGAGCAAUCCGCUGAAAGAUGGACUCGCGUCCGAUUAGCUAGUUGGUGAGAUAAUAGCCCACCAAGGCGACGAUCGGUAGCCGGGUUGAGAGACUGAACGGCCACAUUGGGACUGAGACACGGCCCAGACUCCUACGGGAGGCAGCAGUGGGGGAUAUUGCACAAUGGAGGAAACUCUGAUGCAGCGACGCCGCGUGAGGGAAGAAGGUUUUCGGAUUGUAAACCUCUGUCUUCGGGGACGAAACAAAUGACGGUACUCGAGGAGGAAGCCACGGCCAACUACGUGCCAGCAGCCGCGGUAAUACGUAGGUGGCAAGCGUUGUCCGGAAUUACUGGGUGUAAAGGGUGCGUAGGCGGCUUAGCAAGUCAGGCGUGAAAACUAUGGGCUUAACCCAUAGACUGCGUUUGAAACUGCUGAGCUUGAGUGAAGUAGAGGUAGGCGGAAUUCCCGGUGUAGCGGUGAAAUGCGUAGAGAUCGGGAGGAACACCAGUGGCGAAGGCGG
rnacentral:rRNA from 2 species